GGCAGACGGGUGAGUAACGCGUGGGAAUAUACCCAGUUCUACGGAAUAACAGUUAGAAAUGACUGCUAAUACCGUAUACGCCCUUCGGGGGAAAGAUUUAUCGGAAUUGGAUUAGCCCGCGUUUGAUUAGCUUGUUGGUGAGGUAAUGGCUCACCAAGGCUACGAUCAAUAGCUGGUCUGAGAGGAUGAUCAGCCACACUGGGACUGAGACACGGCCCAGACUCCUACGGGAGGCAGCAGUGGGGAAUAUUGGACAAUGGGCGCAAGCCUGAUCCAGCCAUUCCGCGUGAGUGAUGACGGCCCUAGGGUUGUAAAGCUCUUUCAACGGUGAAGAUAAUGACGGUAACCGUAGAAGAAGCCCCGGCUAACUUCGUGCCAGCAGCCGCGGUAAUACGAAGGGGGCUAGCGUUGUUCGGAAUUACUGGGCGUAAAGCGCACGUAGGCGGAUUGUUAAGUUAGGGGUGAAAUCCCGGGGCUCAACCCCGGAACUGCCUUUAAUACUGGCAAUCUAGAGAUCUAGAGAGGUGAGUGGAAUUCCGAGUGUAGAGGUGAAAUUCGUAGAUAUUCGGAGGAACACCAGUGGCGAAGGCGGCUCACUGGCUAGAUACUGACGCUGAGGUGCGAAAGUGUGGGGAGCAAACAGGAUUAGAUACCCUGGUAGUCCACACCGUAAACGAUGAGAGCUAGCUGUCGGGUAGCAUGCUAUUCGGUGGCGCAGUUAACACAUUAAGCUCUCCGCCUGGGGAGUACGGUCGCAAGAUUAAAACUCAAAG
rnacentral:rRNA from 1 species